UACGGAGGGUGCAAGCGUUAUCCGGAUUUACUGGGUUUAAAGGGUGCGCAGGCGGAUAUGUAAGUCAGUGGUGAAAUCUCCGGGCUUAACCCGGAAACUGCCGUUGGUACUAUAUAUCUUGAAUGCUGUGGAGGUAAGCAGAAUAUGUCAUGUAGCGGUGAAAUGCUUAGAGAUGACAUAGAAUACCUAUUGCGAAGGCAGCUUACUACGCAGAUAUUGACGCUCAUGCGCGAAAGCGUGGGGAUCAAACAGG
rnacentral:rRNA from 1 species